GAUGAAUAACGCAGCGAAAUGCGAUACUUGGUGUGAAUUGCAGAAUCCCGUGAACCAUCGAGUCUUUGAACGCAAGUUGCGCCCGAAGCCUCGGCUAAGGGCACGUCUGCCUGGGCGUCACGCAUCGCGUCUCCCCCAAACCGCCAAGGCGGAGGGGAAGGAAGAUGGCUUCCCGUGCCUCACCCGGGCGCGGUUGGCCUAAAUUUGGAGCCCGCGGCACUUAGCUCUCGCGGCGAUAGGUGGUGAACAAGGCCUUGGCCGUGCAAACAACCCGCUGCGAAGCUCUAUGUCACGUGCGCUCGUCGGACCCUUUGAAGUUGCCUUUGGUGACUUAAAACCUUUGCGACCCCAGGUCAGGCGGGGCUACCCGCUGAAUUUAAGCAUAUCAAUAAGCGGAGGA
rnacentral:misc_RNA from 1 species